CAUCACACAAGAUCUGUCUCCAACACACUAAAAAUAGAAAGGAAUAGAAUAUCAGAUGCAUAUGGAGAAUGCCCUCCUUUCUACUUGGGUGGGAAGGGGACUGAGCAAUAUUUUAGCAGGGCCUGACCCCAUCACAUCUGGUUUCCUGUUUGAAAAUCCUUCACUUUGUGGAGGUUUUGCUGAUAACAAUGCUCAGAAUGAUCUCUAGGCAAUGGAAACUGACAGAAGAUGAAUUAUCUGCCACUCAGGAGGAUGCCCUGAC
rnacentral:lncRNA from 1 species